rnacentral:sRNA from 1 species
UGUUCCAUUCAUCAUAAUAUCCUUGGCGAACAACCACACUACACCCCCACCACCACCACCAUAGUCCUUCUCGACGCUGGUAGAACCGCCUUUGCUCCCGUAGCUAUUGGGGGUCUUGAGUUCAGCCCAAGCGUACAUAUCGCCGCCCCACGAAUCCUCCUGCGCCUGCCCCUCCUUGACGUAGCAGCUAGCACCACGGCCGCCAUGGCCACCGCCAUCACCAUACGACCCAGUAGGCACGCCGCUGGUCUUAUCAGGCGGGUCGCCAGCGAGCGCGGUGGUGUCGAUUACAGCAUCACUGGAGAGCGUGAUGUUGGUAGCUGAAAGAGAAACCCACCCGGCCACGACACGGGCCUCACGGCCGAAGAAGAUGCCGCCGGACAAAUUGGCGGAGACGACGCACCCAGGCCUCUCGCAGGUGAGGGCGACGCCGUCGACGAGCACCAGCGUCCCAUUCCCGCUGAUGUAGACGCCGGGGCCACGGAGCCUCACGGAGGCAGGGACCACGCAGCGGGUGUCGAGGUCGCCCACGCCGCGGAGGUCCCCGGCGCAGGUCGCCGACGGGGCGGGCGGCGGCGGCGGCAGCGAGGGGGGCGGCGGCGGGGUGUAGUCGUGGAAGGUCAGGAUCGAGUACGCCUCCGCCUCCGCGUCCCCCCGAUCGAAACCCCCGAGGCUAGGGUUCCCCGAUGCGACGGCGAGGAGGGCGAGGGCGAGGUGGGGGAGGCGGAGGCGGAGGCGGAGGCGGGCGAGGGGAAUGUGGGUGGCCAUGGGGUGGGAAGCAUCAGAGGACCCAGCGCCCGGAGGGUAGGUGGGGGGUACUCGACGAGGUUUCGGAUUGGCGGCGGCGGCGGCGGAGAUCGCCGGAGACGGCGAGGGGGGGUUGGGGUUUGGUGGUGG